GAAUGACACAGUGCCUAACGAACCUAGCUCUAAAACGGAGGCUUUCACUUUUGACCUAGAACCUUGCUUUUACUACUCAACACCUUACUCGGGGAGGGUAUCCUUUCCUCUUGGAUUGAGUCUCUAACUCUAUUGUCUAUGAACCUGCCUUUGCUGACUUUGAUUCACCAAGCAAUACAACUAACAGAAAUGUCACUCGAUACCCCCGGGAUACUAUGUUUGAUUGUUAGCAUGCCACCACGGAGAGAAACUCCUAUGCUUUGGGUUUAGUCUGAGAACUCCCGUCAAUGCUUCCAAGUCGGCUACCUUGUCCAUGCCUGGAUGCGCUAAGUAAUAUUCUAAAUAUGAGUAAAUAAACUGGAUCAUAUGAUUAAUAUAAGUAAAUGAUCUAAUCAGCAAUAAAAGAAUCAGAGACUCCGCAAUAAAAGAAUCAGAGACAGCAGUGCCAGUCUCUUAGUAAGUAGUUGUAGUCUUAUUAGGAGUAUCAGUACCGCCAAGCUACUACAAAUAUAAUCAGAAUCAGAAUUAAGGUACGAUGUAGUGCAUCUAACAAUUAAGUAAAGAACACGGAAUGAAACUUGCAACUAUAAGAAUUGGCUACUGUCUAACAGGCUUAACUCUAAACUACAGAAAUGACACUCAGACAGGGCUUUCACUAUUCACUAUCAGAUUGAUUGAGCUAAUCCAUAACAGCAAUGCAACUAAUAAUGGUAAUACUGGAAAUUGAAACAAAUACUUGAGCGAUUAACUUAACUACAAGAACCGGACUACUCACUUGGAUUCUGACUUUGCUUCGUCUAAGUUUCCUAUUGCUCUAUCUCAUUCUCUUCCUAAUGCCGCCAAUGCCUAGCUUCAAACUAACUCCCUUCUAGUCAAGUCUGAUUCCUCUGAGAAAAUAGUACAAAAAAGAGGCCAGCUGGAAGGUAAGAGUGAGAAGCACCAGCGAGAGUCUUAUUGGCAUUGGUAGCAGUCUUUUGAUCGGAGUGGGAAUGGGAAGUAGCUCCCAAAAACAGGACUUGAGCUAGCAACUGGGAAUAUAGAAAUUGACUCCUUAUUCACUAACCUUCCUUGCUUUCAAGCCAAUACCAUUUUCUUUUAGCCUCUUUCUCUCAAGUCGGAAUCCAACAAGUAAGUUUCAACCUAUAAGCAAGGGUAUUUGCUAUCAAACCAAAGAAGUACUGUUAUAGUGUCAAAUACACUAAUCCAUUUAUCGGGAAAACAAGAGAAAGGGAAUCCGACCCCAAAGUAAGCCUCGAGCUACGGAUAAUCAGAAUAACUUGAGGCAAGAAUAAAGAACAGGAAAAGUGCUGACAAGACCUCCGCUACUGCUUAAAGAAUAUAACUGCGACUGAUGAGAAUAGAUCUACUUGCUUUGAUUCCAUAUCUCCUUACUUUUAUUCCUGUACUUACUUAUUUGAUUCUUUCUAUUACAAGAACUAGGUUUGUUAGGCGAUACAGAGAACUCGGUUGUCUGCUAGGUAGGGCUGACUCGGUUUUCUGCUAGGUAGGGCUGACGCUGACUAGGUAUGUGUAAAUUAUGUUUUUCAUUGUUUUCAUCCCAUAGUAGAGUAGUUAAGUUCAUCGACCGCAGACGCAGGCAUCUAAGGUACCUUGCAUAUGCAUUGAUGGGUCAGGCAAUAAUGAGGUCCUGUGUAGGUCAUUCAUUCUUAAGGUAGGGUCGCUCGGUCUUCAAUAAAUAACGGUAGGUUCACUCGGGCUAUGCUAUCUCUCAUUACUACUACCCGCACAUCACAUAUGUAGUUCCCCCAUAGGGAUUAGGCUCCUGACUUAUACUCCUUCUUUACUGUAUCCAAGGUUGCCACUACCACUUCUAAUACGGUAACUAGAAAGUCAGAUUGAAAGAAGUACUACUAAACUACUUCCAUAAGAAUAGAAAAAGAAAUAAGGAAUCGCACUACUGCCUCUUAUCUUAGCCCCACUCUUACAUCCAUUGCUUGAAACCUACAUUUCACAUUGGAUCCUUCUACUGGGGCUGUCGCUACCUACUCUCAAACUUGGUAUACUAGUGCUUAACGGUGCUUUCAAGACUCUAUCCUCAAAUACAGAAAUGAACUAUCGAUAACAAGAACACCCUUCCUCACUAUAGGUCUGCUUUCCUCCGAUACAUUGACAUCUAAAUCUUAUUCCUCCGCUAACAGGAAUGCAAUUAGCAAUCAAGAAAGAAACUAGUGCUCUCGUACUUGGACUGGUGCUUCUAAUAAUCAAACCAGGGGUAAGGAAUACUACUUCUAGCUUCCAACUGAUGAGAAUGGAUCUACUUCACUCUUAUUCUUGAACUUAUAAGCCUUCCCGGAAGUCUUGUUUGUUAGUUUGAGCUCGACACUUUACGAUUAGCUAUCAACACGAAAGAAGUGAUUUUCUAGUGUUAUUUACACUAAUAUCUUUAUCGGUAAAGCAAGAAAGGUAGAGCGGGGGAAUAAGGGAGGAUUGCCCAAGUAGGCUAAGAAUAAAGCCAGCAC
rnacentral:lncRNA from 1 species